rnacentral:lncRNA from 1 species
GUGUUUGUCAACCUACAUGGUCUGUUGGAAAGGCAUCACCCCAAGCCUCCACCACCAAUAAGCAGGAGCAGAGAAUGAAGAGGAUGGAAAAGCUCAAAAGGGAUCUCCAGAAGAUCAAAAAUGAGAGAGAUGGACUCCAGGGAAUCCUAGCCAAUUACACUAACAAGGAUUUGAACAACUGGGAGACAUUCAUGCUCAAGAUGCAAGAUGACCAGGUGAUGACUGACCUGAAGAGAAUUCCCCAGGACAUCAGUGAGGCCUUGUACAAGUACAAGGAGUUGAGUAAAGAAAAUCAAUUCUACUGGUGAGUGACUAACAGGGUCUGAAUCUAACCAUCUCCAGCACAAAGUCAGGAUGUUGUGGAAGGAGAACAGACAGUUGCUAGAGGAGCAGAUUACACUAGAAAAUGCUCCAACGAAUCAAAGAGGCUGUGUAAAGAAGGCAGCCUGAAAACCA